UACGUAGGGGGCAAGCGUUGUCCGGAAUCAUUGGGCGUAAAGCGCGUGUAGGCGGCUGAGUAAGUCUGCUCUGAAAGCCCGGGGCUCAACCCCGGGAGGCGGGUGGAUACUGCUCAGCUCGAGUCCGGAAGAGGAGUGUGGAAUUCCUGGUGUAGCGGUGAAAUGCGCAGAUAUCAGGAGGAACACCGAUGGCGAAGGCAGGUCUCUGGGCAUUAACUGACGCUGAGGAGCGAAAGCAUGGGGAGCGAACAGG
rnacentral:rRNA from 1 species